GAUGAACGCUGGCGGCGUCCCUACUCAAUGCAAGUCGAGCGAGCGGCGGACGGGUGAGUAAUGUCUGGGAAACUGCCUGAUGGAGGGGGAUAACUCCUGGAAACGGUAGCUAAUACCGCAUACCAUCAGAUGUGCCCAGAUGGGAUUAGCUAGUAGGUGGGGUAAUGGCUCACCUAGGCGACGAUCCCUAGCUGGUCUGAGAGGAUGACCAGCCACACUGGAACGGAGACACGGUCCAGACUCCGACGGGAGGCAGCAGUGGGGAAUAUUGAACAAUGGGCGCAAGCCUGAUGCAGCCAUGCCGCGUGUGUGAAGAAGGCCGUCGGGUUGUAAAGCACUUUCAGCGAGGAGGCGUUACUCGCAGAAGAAGCACCGGCUAACUCCGUGCCAGCCGCCGCGGUAAUAC
rnacentral:rRNA from 1 species